GAAUCACCCUUCAGUUAUAGUUCAGCCAGGAAAGAGACCUUUACCUGUGGAAUCUCCAGACACACAAAGAAAACGCAGAAUACAUCGGUGUGAUUAUGAAGGCUGCAACAAAGUCUACACUAAAAGCUCCCAUCUGAAAGCUCACAGAAGAACCCAUACAGGUGAAAAACCAUACAAAUGCACUUGGGAGGGAUGCACGUGGAAGUUUGCUCGUUCUGAUGAACUAACGCGGCAUUUCCGCAAGCAUACAGGAAUCAAACCUUUUCAGUGCCCAGACUGUGACCGUAGCUUUUCACGUUCGGACCAUCUUGCUCUUCACAGAAAACGCCACAUGCUAGUCUGAAUGUCUUCUGUCCCUGAUUCCUGUCACACUUUUUUUUUUUCCACACAUGCAUUUUAAUUUGGAUUCAGCUGGUCUGAAUCUCUGAGUUUAUACCAUUAAAAGCUUACGUAUGGUCAGUAACAGAUGUUAUCUAACCCUUCUAUGUCCUUGCCACGGGUCAGACCUAAAGAAUGUGAACACUUUUUUUUUUUUUCUCCUGGGGAUGCUAAGCAAACCCUUUCUACAGACAGUAUGUUUAAUGUAUUCCAUUGUGAAUAAGGGAAUUUGUAAACUAACAGCUUUUGUUGGUUUCUUCAUAUAAUCAACUCAGCAUAUACUGAUAAAGUAGUAAAUGUUACUGAAUAUCCAAAA